rnacentral:rRNA from 1 species
AUUGAACGCUGGCGGCAGGCCUAACACAUGCAAGUCGAACGAGUGGCGGACGGGUGAGUAAUGUCUGGGAAACUGCCCGAUGGAGGGGGCUAACUACUGGAAACGGUAGCUAAUACCGCAUACCAUCGGAUGUGCCCAGAUGGGAUUAGCUAGUAGGUGGGGUAACGGCUCACCCAGGCGACGAUCCCUAGCUGGUCUGAGAGGAUGACCGGCCGCACUGGGACUGAGACACGGUCCAAACUCCUACGGAAGGCAGCAGGUGGGAAUAUUGCACAAUGGGCGCAAGCCUGAUGCAGCCAGGCCGCGUGUAUGAAGAAGGCCUUCGGGUUGUAAAGUACUUUCAGCGAGGAGGCGUUACUCGCAGAAGAAGCGCCGGCUAACUCCGUGCCAGCAGCCGCGGUAAUUC